GAUGAACGCUGGCGGCAUGCCUAACACAUGCAAGUCGGGCGUACAGUCGAGGAGCCUGCUCCUCUCUCGUUAGCGGCGCACGGGUCAGUACCACGAGGAUAACCUCACUAUACGAAUACGAUUACUUCGACCACCCGGCGCUAAUAGCGGAUCAUGUAUUCAACCGCAUGGUUCUAUAGCGAUAGCCGGUUUUGCUGUCACUUAUAGAUGGACCCGCGCCGCAUUAGCUAGUUGGUAAGGUAACGUCUUACCAACGCAACGAUGCGUAGCCGACCUGAGAGGGUGAUCGGCCACACUGGAACUGAGACACGGUCCAGACUCCUACGGGAGGCAGCAGUAGGGAAUCUUCCGCAAUGGGCGAAAGCCUGACGGAGCAACGCCGCAAAAGUGAUGAAGGUCUUCGGAUCGUAAAACUCUGUUAUUAGGGAAGAACAAAUGUUUAAGUAACUAUGCACGUCUUGACGGUACCUAAGCAGAAAGCCACGGCUAACUACGUG
rnacentral:rRNA from 1 species